rnacentral:rRNA from 1 species
UGGGGAAUAUUGGACAAUGGGCGCAAGCCUGAUCCAGCCAUGCCGCGUGAGUGAUGAAGGCCCUAGGGUUGUAAAGCUCUUUCACCGGUGAAGAUAAUGACGGUAACCGGAGAAGAAGCCCCGGCUAACUUCGUGCCAGCAGCCGCGGUAAUACGAAGGGGGCUAGCGUUGUUCGGAUUUACUGGGCGUAAAGCGCACGUAGGCGGACGUUUAAGUCAGGGGUGAAAUCCCGGGGCUCAACCCCGGAACUGCCUUUGAUACUGGAAGUCUUGAGUAUGGUAGAGGUGAGUGGAAUUCCGAGUGUAGAGGUGAAAUUCGUAGAUAUUCGGAGGAACACCAGUGGCGAAGGCGGCUCACUGGACCAUUACUGACGCUGGGGUGCGAAAGCGUGGGGAGCAAACAGG